AUUGAACGCUGGCGGCAGGCCUAACACAUGCAAGUCGAACGAGUGGCGGACGGGUGAGUAAUGUCUGGGAAACUGCCUGAUGGAGGGGGAUAACUACUGGAAACGGUAGCUAAUACCGCAUACCAUCGGAUGUGCCCAGAUGGGAUUAGCUAGUAGGUGGGGUAACGGCUCACCUAGGCGACGCUCCCUAGCUGGUCUGAGAGGAUGACCAGCAACACUGAAACUGAGCCACGGUCCAGACGCAUACGGUAGGCAGCAGUGGGGAAUAUUACACAAUGGGCGCAGGCCUGAUGCAGCCAUGACGCGUGUAUGAAGAAGGCCGUCGGUUUGUAAAGUACUUUCAGCGGGGAGGCGUUACCCGCAGAAGAAGCACCGGCUAGCCCUGUGCCAGCAGCCGCGGUAAUUG
rnacentral:rRNA from 1 species